CUGAAGAUAAUCAGUCAUCUAACAUUUGAUUAUUCAACUAGAUAGAUGAUGCCUCCUUAUGGGACACCACCACCAUAUGCAGCAAUGUAUGCACAAGGUACACCAUAACAGCAGGCACCAAUGCCACCGGGUUCACACCCAUACAGUUCUUAUCCUAUGCAGUCACCAAACGGGACAGUUCAAACUCCAAUAAGAAUCUCUUGGCUGCUCACCUGUUGAGUUUUCCCCGUUUCAAAAUCGUCCUGCUCGCAUCUUCCCCGAUUCAAAAUGGCCCAGUU